rnacentral:rRNA from 1 species
UACGAUCUAUGGAUGAAAGCGGGGGAUCGCAAGACCUCGCGCGAUUGGAGCGGCCGAUAUCAGAUUAGGUAGUUGGUGGGGUAAAGGCUCACCAAGCCGACGAUCUGUAGCUGGUCUGAGAGGACGACCAGCCACACUGGGACUGAGACACGGCCCAGACUCUUACGGGAGGCAGCAGUGGGGAAUUUUGGACAAUGGGCGAAAGCCUGAUCCAGCCAUGCCGCGUGCAGGAUGAAGGCCUUCGGGUUGUAAACUGCUUUUGUCCGGAACGAAAAGGUUUGGCCUAAUAAGGUGAGCUCAUGACGGUACCGUAAGAAUAAGCACCGGCUAACUACGUGCCAGCAGCCGCGGUAAUACGUAGGGUGCGAGCGUUAAUCGGAAUUACUGGGCGUAAAGCGUGAGCAGGCGGUUAUGUAAGUCAGAUGUGAAAUCCCCGGGCUCAACCUGGGAACUGCAUUAGAGACUGCAUAGCUUGAGUGCGCAGAGGGGAUGAAUUCCGCGUGUAGCAGGGAAACGCUUUUAUCCGGAGAACACCGAUGCGAGGCAAUCCCCUGGGCCUGUACUGACG